rnacentral:rRNA from 1 species
AAUCUUCCUCAAUGGUCGAAAGUCUGACGGAGCGAUGCCGCGCGAGGGAUUAAGGUCUNCGGAAUNANAAACUCUGUUUUUAAGGNCGAACAAGUAUCGGAGGAUUAUGCCGGUACCUCGACGGUAUCUUACUUGUAAGCCCCGGCUACCUACGUUCCCGCAGCCGCCGUAAUACGUAGGGGGCAAGCGUUGUCCGGAAUUAUUGGGCGUAAAGGGAACGCAGGCGGUUAUUUAAGUCUGAUGUGAAAUCUUGUGGCUUAACCACAAGCGGUCAUUGGAAACUGGAUAACUUGAGUACAGAAGAGGAGAGUGGAAUUCCACGUGUAGCGGUGAAAUGCGUAGAGAUGUGGAGGAACGCCAGUGGCGAAGGCGGCUCUCUGGUCUGUAACUGACGCUGAGGUGCGAAAGCGUGGGUAGCGAACA